GGAACUCCGGGGCCGCGACCUCCACCACCACCGCCCUGACGUGGACCUUCUCCCACGGGAAAGUCUUGAUGAUGCUGAUCUCGCUGCCCUGCGUGUCGAGCGAGAGCAGGUCAACGACGGUCACAUUGAGGGCCCUCAGAUUGUAAGGCAGCGAGGAGGGAGCAUUCAGCCAGUGUUGCCUCAGCUCUGACUCAGCAGCGGGGUCGUCACUGGCCAGCCCCGCCGUCACCACCACCCUCACGCGCUCCUCCCGUCGCGGCCAGCACCGUACUACCUGUAUGGUCACUUCAUGUACAGAGAGAGAGAGAGAGAGAGAGAGAGAGAGAGAGAGAGAGAGUACUACAGAAGGGAGGUGAAAGGGGGACUUGAGCAUUUGGAAGUAAAGGCUAAAACACAGACAUCAUAAGGAGAUGGAAGGGAUGGCGAGGCAGAGAGCAGGGCGGUGAAGCAGAGAGGCAGCAUGCAAGGUCCCUAAUUAACGUGAAUGACAGUGUACUAUACCUUGUGUUGAGUCUCAAGGUUAUGUAAUACCCAUGAUAAUCAAAUUAAAUGCAUGUGCACCUGCUUCCCGCCCACCUUGGUUACCAGCCUCACCGUCACAGCCAAGAGACAGAAUCCCGUCAGCGUCACCGUCAGGAAGAGAGGAGGAGGCCUUGAAUUCCUGUACGGCACGUUCUGUACGCACCAUAGCCUCCCCGCCUUUACAGCCAUUGUCUCUCUGGUAUCAAGCACCCGUAUUCACUUUUCUCACUACGACUGUUUUCAAA